CGAGGAAAGUAGCAAUACUUUUCGAGCGGCGAACGGGUGAGUAACACGUUGGGAAUCUACCCCUGAGACCGGAAUACCUGGAAGAAAUUUCAGCUAAUGCCGGAUACGUGGUCAACACAGAAGUGAUGAUCAUAAAAGGCGGCCUUAAAGCCGCGCUGAGGGAUGAACCUGCGGCGCAUUAGCUAGUUGGUGAGAUAAAGGCCCACCAAGGCGAGGAUGCGUAGCCGACCUGAGAGGGUGAACGGCCACACUGGAACUGAGACACGGUCCAGACUCC
rnacentral:rRNA from 1 species